ACGCACGCUGGCGGCGUGCUUAACACCUGCAAGUCGAACGGAAAGGCCCUGCUUUUGUGGGGUGCUCGAGUGGCGAACGGGUGAGUAACACGUGAGUAACCUGCCCUUGACUUUGGGAUAACUUCAGGAAACUGGGGCUAAUACCGGAUAGGAGCUCCUGCUGCAUGGUGGGGGUUGGAAAGUUUCGGCGGUUGGGGAUGGACUCGCGGCUUAUCAGCUUGUUGGUGGGGUAGUGGCUUACCAAGGCUUUGACGGGUAGCCGGCCUGAGAGGGUGACCGGCCACAUUGGGACUGAGAUACGGCCCAGACUCCUACGGGAGGCAGCAGUGGGGAAGAGUGCACAAUGGGCGGAAGCCUGAUGCAGCAACGACGCGUGCGGGAUGAUGGCCUUCGGGUUGUAAACCGCUUUCGCCUGUGACGAAGCGUGAGUGACGGUAAUGGGUAAAGAAGCACCGGCUAACUACGUG
rnacentral:rRNA from 1 species